rnacentral:rRNA from 1 species
CGUCUAUAUACGUAUAGCAUAUCAAUAAGCGGAGGGAAAAGAAACUAACAAGGAUUCCCUUAGUAACGGCGAGUGAAGCGGGAAGAGCUCAAAUUUGAAAUCUUCAAGGUUCUACCUUGACGAAUUGUAGUUUAAAGAAGUGUUUUCUGUUAGAGGAGUAGCAAAAGUUCCUUGGAAUAGGACAUCAUAGAGGGUGAGAAUCCCGUAUUUGGUUAUUCUUUCUAGCUGUGUGAUACACUUUCAAAGAGUCGGAUUGUUUGGGAAUGCAGUCCAAAAUGGGUGGUAAAUUUCAUCUAAAGCUAAAUAUUGGCGAGAGACCGAUAGCGAACAAGUACCGUGAGGGAAAGAUGAAAGAACUUUGAAAAGAGAGUUAAACAGUACGUGAAAUUGUCAAAAGGGAAGCGUUUGACACCAGUGUUGUUUUUCCGAAAAUCAAUUAAGAACGUGCUUGAUUUUGUGUUGUAUUGACCUUAUCAGCUUUCUUCACUCUUUUUCGAGUCUUUCUUAAUGCACUUUUCGGUUAACAAGUCAACAUCAAUUUCUUUUGUUGUAAAAGGGUGUUUGGAAGGUGGCUUUCUUUUCGGAGAAAGUGUUUAUAGCCUUAUACCUCUACAAUCGGAGAGAUUGAGGUCUGCAGCGUAGAUCCUUCGGGGCUAGAUACACUUGUGCUAAGUUAUAGCUUUUCAUAGACAACUUGUUGACUAUGUUUAGUCAUGUAGCUUACCCGCUUGUGCUAUUUUACCUACGCUUAGGAUGUUGAGUCAUCACACAUCUCU